rnacentral:tRNA from 1 species
GGGGACAUAGCUCUAAUUGGUAGAGCAGCGGAUUCCAAAUCCGACGGUUGGGGGUUCGAAUCCCUCUGGCCCCGCCA